rnacentral:rRNA from 1 species
AUUGAACGCUGGCGGCAGGCCUAACACAUGCAAGUCGAGCGAGCGGCGGACGGGUGAGUAAUGUCUGGGAAACUGCCUGAUGGAGGGGGCUAACUACUGGAAACGGUAGCUAAUACCGCAUACCAUCAGAUGUGCCCAGAUGGGAUUAGCUAGUAGGUGGGGUAACGGCCCACCUAGGCGACGAUCCCUAGCUGGUCUGAGAGGAUGACCAGCCACACUGGAACUGAGACACGGUCCAGACUCCUACGAGAGGCAGCAGUGGGGAAGAUUGCACGAUGGGCGCAAGCCUGAUGCAGCCAUGCCGCGUGUAUGAAGAAGGCCUUCGGGUUGUAAAGUACUUUCAGCGGGGAGGCGUUACCCGCAGAAGAAGCGCCGGCUAACUCCGUGCCAGCAGCCGCGGUAAUUC